rnacentral:rRNA from 1 species
AUUGAACGCUGGCGGUAUGCUUAACACAUGCAAGUCGAACGAGGGGCGGACGGGUGAGUAAUGCAUAGGAAUCUACCUUUUAGUCUAAGAUAACUACGCGAAAGGGUGGCUAAUACUGGAUGCUAAGAGAUGAGCCUAUGGGGGAUUAGCUAGUUGGUGGGGUAAUGGCUCACCAAGGCGACGCUCUCUAGCUGGGUUGAGAGGAUGAUCAGCCACACUGGGACUGGGAAACGGCCCAGACUCCCUCGGGAGGGAGCAGUGGGGAAUAUUGGGAAAUUGGCGAAAGCCUGAUCCAGGAAUUCCGGGUGUGGGAAGAAGGCCCUAGGGUUGGAAAGCACCUUUGUGAGGGAGAUGUUACCUAAAGAAUAAGCACCGGCUAACUCCGUGCCAGCAGCCGCGGUAAUAC